GACGAACCGUCCAAACGUUAUUCGGAAUUACUGGGCUUAAAGGGGGCGUAGGCGGCGCGGAAAGUUGGGUGUGAAAUCCCUCGGCUCAACCGAGGAACUGCGCCCAAUACUACCGUGCUUGAGGGAGAUAGAGGUGAGCGGAACUUAGGGUGGAGCGGUGAAAUGCGUUGAUAUCCUAAGGAACACCGGUGGCGAAAGCGGCUCACUGGAUCUCUUCUGACGCUGAGGCACGAAAGCUAGGGUAGCGAACGGG
rnacentral:rRNA from 1 species